rnacentral:rRNA from 1 species
AUUGAACGCUGGCGGCAUGCUUUACACAUGCAAGUCGAACGGUAACAGGCCGCAAGGUGCUGACGAGUGGCGAACGGGUGAGUAAUGCAUCGGAACGUGCCCAGUCGUGGGGGAUAACGCAGCGAAAGCUGCGCUAAUACCGCAUACGAUCUAUGGAUGAAAGCGGGGGACCGUAAGGCCUCGCGCGAUUGGAGCGGCCGAUGUCAGAUUAGGUAGUUGGUGGGGUAAAGGCUCACCAAGCCAACGAUCUGUAGCUGGUCUGAGAGGACGACCAGCCACACUGGGACUGAGACACGGCCCAGACUCCUACGGGAGGCAGCAGCGGGGAACUUUGGACAAUGGGCGCAAGCCUGAUCCAGCAAUGCCGCGUGCAGGAAGAAGGCCUUCGGGUUGUAAACUGCUUUUGUGCGGAACGAAACGGUCCUGGUUAAUACCCGGGGCUAAUGACGGUACCGUAAGAAUAAGCACCGGCUAACUACGUGCCAGCCGCCGCCGUAAGAC